GGUUUGAUCAUGAAAGCUCCAGAUUGAACUUCUUCAGCAGGAUGCUUUACAUGCAAGUCGAACGGCGGCACGGACUUCGGUCUGGUGGCGAGUGGCGAACGGGUGAGUAAUGUAUCGAGACGUUGCCCUAGUAGCGGGGGAUAACCCCACGCGGCUAGCCUAAUACCGCAUACGCCCUUCGGGGGAAAGCGGGGGGACCUUCGGGCCUCGCACUUCUUCAAACAACCGAUAUCGGAUUGGCUAGUUGGUGGGGUAACGGCUCACCAAGGCGGCGAUCCGUAGCUGGUUUGAGAGGACGACCAGCCACACUGGGACUGGGACACGGCCCAGACUCCUGCAGGAGGCAGCAGUGGGGAAUUUGGACAAUGGGGAAACCCUGAUCCAGCCAUCCCGCGUGUGCGAUGAAGGCCUUCAGGUUGUAAAGCACUUUGGCAGGGAAAGAAACGGCACGGGAUAAUACCCCGUGCAACUGACGAGUACCUGCAGAAUAAGCACCAACUAACUACGUGCCAGCAGCCGCGGUAAUACGUGGUGCAGCGUUAAUCGGAAUUACUGGGCAUGGCGUGCGCAGGCAGUUUACGGAAAGAAAGAUGUGAAAUCCCAGAGCUUAACUUUGGAACUGCAUUUUUUUAACUACCGAGCUAGAGUGUGUCAGAGGAGGUGGAAUUCCGCGUGUAGCAGUGAAAUGCGUAGAUAUGCGGAGGAACACCGAUAGCGGUAACCUCCUGGGAUACCUGCAAACGCUCAUGCACGAAAGCGUGGGGAGCAAACAGGAUUAGAUACCCUGGUAGUCCACGCCUCAAACGAUGUCAACUAGCUGUUGGGGCCUUCGGGCCUUGGUAGCGCAACUAACGCGUGAAGUUGACCUGGGAAAUCACGGUCGCAAGAUUAAAACUCAAAGGAAUUGACGGGGACCCGCACAAGCGGUGGAUGAUGUGGAUUAAUUCGAUGCAACGCGAAAACCUUACCUACCCUUGACAUGUCUGGAAUCGGGAAUUUGGGAGUGCUCGCAAGAGAACCGGAACACAGGUGCUGCACUGGCUGUCGUCAGCUCGUGUCGUGAGAUGUUGGGUUAAGUCCCGCAACAGGCGCAACCCUUGUCAUUAGUUGCUACGAAAGGGCACUCUAAUGAAGUUUUGCCGAUGAAGCAAACCGGAGAGGUGGGGAUGACGUCAGAUCACUCAUGGCCCUUAUGGUGAGACUACACGUCAUACAAUGGUCGGGACAGAGGGUCGCCAGCCCGCGAGGGGGAGCCAAUCCCAGGAAACCCGAUCGUAGUCCGGAUCGCAGUCUGCAACUCGACUGCGUGAAAUUCGGAAUCGCUAGUAAUCGCGGAUCAGCAUGUCGCGAUACGUUCGGGUCUUGUACACACCGCCCGUCACACCAUGGGAGUGGGUUUUACCGAUGGUUAGCCUAACCGUAAGGAGGCGAUUACCACAGGAUUCAUGACUGGGGUGAAGUCGUAACAAGGUAA
rnacentral:rRNA from 1 species